GCACCCUGGAGGCGCGGGAGAUGCAGCGGUGGCCGCCCGUGGGGCCAGCAGGGUCUCUGAGAUGGAAGGAGGAACUCACGGAAGGGGAAGAGAAGCUGGAAUGUCUCACACCGAAAAGUAGCAACAGUGUAGGAAGAAACGGUCCUUUACGGGAGACUAAAAGAAGAAAUGACUCGCGGAAGGUUACUGCAACCCCUUCUCGCCAGAUGCCGCACACGCGGGGCGGAGGCAACUGGGCAGGGCAUCGUGCCCCCUCCCCCGCGCGCCUUAUAUGGGUGGAGCGCGCGCCAGGGGGCGGGGUUCAUCUGGCUGGCGCUCGCGUCCCUAGGGGGCCGGGCGCCUCUGUGUUGGAGGCGGGUUUGCGGUGAAAACGUGGAAAAGGCGUGAGUUGUGGGGGACUGGUUGGAGAUUUCAUCUUUGUCAUAUCAUAUCUAUGUAGGCAUCUUAAAUUUUCCUGAAUGAGCAUGGAAAAAUCGAAGUCCUCAAAGGGAAAGUAGGGUGAACAGGGGAACUGACGCGGCCUAGUGUCGCCUGGAGUGCUGCGCUAACCGCUGGGAAGAAGCAAGGCUGAGCAGUUGGCAGGUUUGCUUUGCUCCCCGCCUGCCCUCCCAGCCUGUCCCUGAAGCUGUUUCCUUCCACUCGACGCAGUACAUUUCCCGGCGCCGCCCCCGAGGGUCCGGGCGGAGAGGGCGGGUCCACCCACUCCUCCCCGGCGUACUCUGGCCCGCCCCACCGGCCACGACGCGUGGCUGUACCGCUGUAGGACCCGGGGCCUCUUGGUGCUCCACACAGGCACGUUGGCUCAGAUUUACGCCACAACUGCAAAAAUAACUCGGAAAUGCUAAACUACAGUGCCUUGUUUUGUUACAAGUUUUAGGCGACUCGGACUCUUCAGCAGUAGCUGCGAAUAUAUAAUUAUGCUUUAUAGUUUCAGCGCUAUAAUAAAAUGAGUUUAAAUCAUUUUACUUCUCAGUUAAAAUGAGCAGUUGUUAGUCUGAAGGAUGGGUGGUUCCUGAUACGGUAUUAAGGACCUGGCUCUUAACCGAAUUUAUUUUAGAGACUCAACAGAUUUUAAGAAGACCCUAGUAACGCAAUUCUACAGGGGCUUAAUGAGAAACAUCUAUACUGGACUAUCAAAUUCACUUUUCUAUUUUGUUCUCAGUUAUUUGAUAGUAAAAGAGCCAUCCUCUUUACAAGAACUAUUGAGGUUAAUGUUUUGGCCUUUGUAAUAUAAGAAUUAAAACAAAAAAAAAAAUCUGGACAAUUCAACAUGUUCAACAAAGAAGUGAUUUUUAAAUGAUAUUACCUUAAAUACAGACAAAUUGGAAGAUUUAGUCUUCAAGCCUUGUCUAAGUGUCUGAAGAAAUUUUGCUGCUAAAACUAAAGACUUCCUGCCACUUUUGGCAGUAAUUUGGUUUAACUUGUUUUCAAGCACCCCAAAACUCCAUACAGUGUAAAGUUAUGAGCAGAAUUUAAAAUGAGGAUUUCUUAAGAAAAGAGUUGGGUGUGCUUAGUCUGGAGAUGUCAGCUCUGCUGCUGAAUGUAAACUAGGCAAGUUAUUACUUAACUGCAUUAUUUCUUCUAGCGUCUCUUCUACCUGUCCUGUAGAUGUGUUCAAGAAAAACAUGAUAAUUUAUGUGGAAUUGCUUUAAAACAAAAACACUACAUACAUUUUUAUAUUUAUAGUUAGAGUGAAUGAUUCCAUUGGCAAACUUGCCAGUAAACUGAUUAAACUAAUUGGGGCAUACCAAGAGACUGUUUAGGUGACUAGUAACAGGACUAAGGGGUACUAUUUCUAUGUAUGGAAAAGAUCUUUGGAGUUCUUAAAGUAUUCUUAACCUCCAAAUCCUUGGAAUUAUAUAGGCAUCAUUUGAAGAGUGAAAAUAAAAACGAUUACUGGUCCAUACAGGUUGAAUUUUGAAAAGUAUUUGCUUUUUUGUCUAAAUAUUUUACAUUUGUUUAAAAGCCCUGAAAAUCUUUUCAGUUAACUUUUCUAGAUUUUUAUCAAGAAAGAUAGUAUUCAAGAACUUAGUACACUCGUCAAAGGAAAUAAAAAGGCUAAGAACUCUGUGAGAUAAACCUAGAGUGUUCUAAAGAUACCUUAUUGGGCUUUGGUAAAGAUCAGUAAGUUAAAGUACAUCUCCUAUAAACUACAGGAUACUUUUGGCUAUUGGAUUAUAAGCUAACAUCCAAAGUUCUUCCCCAUAAAUUUAAAUAAUGGGAAAUAAUAUAAUUUUAGUGCAUUGUAAAUGUCAUUUUAUAAAAUCUCUCACUUUUAAGGGUAUGCAAUGAAAUUAAAUUUCACUAUUUUGAUACCCAUCAUCUAUUUAUUAAAAAGUGAACUAUUUAAUAGUCAAAGUUUCACAUUGUAUUGCUGUUCUAUCCCCUUAGCAGUGGUUCUCAGGUAGGGGCUGUUGCUUCCCAAGGGAUAUUUGGCAGUAUCUGGAGACACUUUGGUUGUCACUAGGGUAUGAGGGCUACUGGCAUCUAGUGAAAAGAGUCCAUCCUACAUUGCACAAGGCAACCUCCAGCAAAGAAUUAAUCAGCCCAAAAUGUCAAUAGUGCUGUGCUAUUGAGAAACUCUCACCUACGGAAAUCUAUUCAUGUAAUGUGGUUUUAGGCAUGAAAGUCUUAUUGGUUAUCACUUUCUUGCAGAAAAAAAGGUGUAUAUUUAAAUUUAUUGCAUAUCUUGUGAUCAUAAUGUUAUAAAAGUUAAGUCUGAACUGAUCAAAAUAUAAAUCACAAUUAUGAAUUAUAAAAA